AAGCCUUGCUGAAUUGAAAAACCUAUCUAGGUUGACGACAUUGGAAAUAGAUAUUCCAGAUGUCAAGAUGUUGCCGAAAGACUUAUUCUCCAUUAAGUUGGAACGGUAUAAGAUUGUUAUGGAGAGCUAAAACAAGAUUCGAAUGGUUAUGAUGAAUAUGGAUCCUCAAGAACGCUAAAGAUUCAGCUCAAUAUAGGCAUUCAUCUGGAUCAUGGGGUUGAUUUGUUGUUGAAGGAAGCAGAAUAUCUGCAUCUAGAAUAUGUGAAAGGGAUCAAGAGCAUUUUGUAUGACCUGAAUUGGGAAGGUUUUCCACAAUUGAAAUAUCUCCAGAUCCGGAAAGGUUACGACAUUCAGUAUGUUGUUAACUCAACAAAGCGGGUCCCUUGUAAUGCCUUUCCCAUCUUAGAGUCUUUGUCUUUGUGGAAUUUGGCGAGCUUGGAGAAGAUUUGUCAUUGCCAGCUCACAACAGGGUCUUUCACCAGAUUAAGAAUCUUAAAAGUCAGAGAAUGCAAUAGAUUGAAGAAUCUCUUCUCAAUCUCCAUGGUUAGAAACCUUUCUCAACUUCAAGAAAUGGAAGUAAGUUAUUGCGAGAACAUGGAAGAAAUUGUGGUUGAUGAGAGUGAAGUUGGAGAUGACAAAAUUGAAGUGGCUGAGUUCACUCAAUUACGCUCCUUGGAACUACGCCGUCUUCCGGUACUUAAAAGCUUUUGCUUCAAAGUGAAGGAACUGCCCAUAUUGCAAACGCAAUCGACAAGUGAUGGAGGAUUCAAAGGAAUUGCGUUGCAGGAUGAGAUCCAUACUCCAUUGCCACUUUUUGACAAAAUGGUUUCCUUCCCCAACUUGGAGAAGUUGAGUGUAUACUCAGUAGGCUGUGAAAACAAGCAGCAUGAUGAACUCUUUGGAGUUUCUUCAAACCCAAUGAGGUCAUCUGUCUUGGCCUGCCCGGAUUUGAAGUAUUUAUUUACAAC
rnacentral:misc_RNA from 1 species